UUUUGGGUAGCUCAGCAGUAGAGUGUUUGCCUAGCAUGCAGAGGCCCUAGGUUCACUCCCUAGCACUAGAA
rnacentral:tRNA from 1 species